rnacentral:misc_RNA from 1 species
UUUUAGAGUCCUUUCAUAAUGUAAUUUUGAUGUAUGCUCCAAAGCGCCAUGCCUAUUCAUACUCAGUAUACCAAGCUAGAAACCGGCUUGCUGCCUUGGACUUUAACCACCACAGAGGCCGAGCACCAGCAACUACAGCUGAUGGGAAAGAAAGGUACGGUCGGAAGUUCAGUAAGCGUACACAACAGUGGUGCCGUGUUCGUGUUCUUGUACCAAAAGAAUUUAGUUACAUUCCUGAACUGAUGCAGAAGGUUUUUAUAAAGAGGAUCACAUCAGAAGGGAAUGUAAACAAAAGACUUGGUAUUCCAAGUGAUGAUCCUAGACAAAUUGCACCCAAUAUUGCCCCUGUUCCUCCUCCAUCAGUACAGACACUUGUCGACACACAUAAAACAAGAUUUUAAUGGUUGUGUGUAAAAUCAAGUUACUUUGGGCAUGCUGACGAGCUCUGAUAUAGAGCGAAACAGCCAUAAAUUUAAGAGCCCAUUAUCAAUGAAAUAUGACACAUAAUAUCUUAAAUGGAAUGUUUUAUUAAAUUAUUAUGAUAUAUGUAUAGUGUGUCCCAA